UCUCACACACACUUACAGAUGUGGGUUGCAGAUGUGGAGGGCGUCCUCAGGUCCAUGGCGAGACAGCUGGUGAGUUUGAGUUUGAGUGUGUGUGGUUUAUAAAAAUGACCGGGUGAUAAAAAUGAUAAUAAUGUUUCCUGGUUUUGAAUCCUUUGUUGUUAGGAGCUUAAUGUAACCAGUGAAGUGUCAAACUAACUUAUCCUCCCUUUUCCCAGAAUGCCUCUCUGGAGAAAUAUCCUAAUUAUGAAAGAAGAAACAGCCCAGAGUGCUGUCCUCCGUCAUCCUCCAACCACUGCAGGUCUCUCUCCAGCCAGCCUGCCGCUCCAGAGGGACAGGGUUAGAUGUUGACUGUUUGAAGUCAGAUUUCGAGAAAAAUCCCACAUAAAAAAACAACAUGUCUGAACCCAGUUUUUCCUUCUUUAAUCCCUCAUGCAAUGAUCAUGUC